rnacentral:lncRNA from 1 species
CAUUUUUUGAAAAAAGUUUCCCCCACUGAAUUGCCUCUGUACCAUUGUGAAUCAGAAGUCCAUAUAUGUGUGGGUCUAUUUCUAGAUGCUGUUCCAUUGAUCUGUCUGUCUGUCUUGAUGCCAUUAAGGCACUGCCUUUAUUAUUGUAGUUAUCUAAUAAGUGUUGAAAUCUAGUAAGCGUUGAAGUCAUAUAGUGUUAGUUCUCUACCUUUGUUCUUUGUCAGGGUGUUUUGGCCAUUAGAGGUCUUUUGCAUUUGCAUAUGAAUUUUAGAAUCAGUUUUUCAGUUUCUAUAAAACACCUCCUGGGAGUUUGAUUGGGAUUGCAUUGAAUAUAAUGAUCAAUUUAUGGAGAACUGACAACUAUAUAGAGUCUUUUGACCCAUGGACAUGGUAGAUCUCCCCAUUUAUUUAGAUAUUAAUUUCCUUCAGCAAUGUUUUGUAAUUUUUACUGUGCAGAUCUUUCACACUUUUCCCCGGAUGCAUCUAAAAAUUUUAUCUUUUUCAUGCAUAAGUACUGAAUAACUUAUGAUACUUGUAAUAAUAAACAGUGAAUUUCUAGUUUUUGCUGACAUAUAGGAAUAUAAUUGGUUUUUAUAUAUUAACCGCAUAUCCUGCAACCUGGCACAACUCCCUUAUUAGUUCUAGUAACAUUUUAUAGAUUCCAUAGGAUUUUCUAACAUUGAGAAUCAUGUUUGCAAAUAACAGUUUUACUUCUUCCUUUCUAAUUCUGGAUGCUUUUUUGUUUUUUGCCUUAUUGUAGUGGCAGUGGGUGGGGAUGGUGUGUUUUUAGGGAGAGCUCAUCUCUCUGGCAUUGAUCAGGAGAGAGACAUUCAGCUUCAGAGACUUUAAUUUUGCUGUUAUGUGAACUGACUCACAGUUGCAAAGUCCAAAGUUUCCCGUAUCUUUUGGUUCACUUUGCUCUUUAGCUUCCUCUAAGCAGCACUGCCUAUAGAUUGUUUCUGUCGAAGCUGUUCUGGAAAAGAAUGGGCCUCUUGUAGCAUGGUCCCAAUUUUCUCCUCAGACUGCUCAUGAUUCCUGUCAUGGUUCCAACCUGGGGAUUUUAGGCACUUUGUCUUGCCUACCAAAACUCUCAUCUCUUCUCCCUGCACCAUAAUACCAAAUGGAGGAGUUACAUGUCCAAUCUUGUUCCUUCUAGUUAGUUCAAGUUAGAACUAAUUGGAAUAACUGUCUGAUACUCUUUAGAGUUUGUGGUGUAUAAAUGUGUACAUGUAUGUACACCCAUAUAUGUGUGUCCAUUUCUCUAGAUUCACGGUAGAUACUCUUUUUGAUUUAGAGAAGGGGCAGUAUGCAAAUAUAUGUUCUAAUGCUAUUAUUCUUGGAAAUCUAAUUCAUCUAUUUAAAACAAUUGCUCUUCAUAAAUGUUACAAUAAAAGUAUUAUGAAAAGGAC